rnacentral:rRNA from 1 species
UGCGGAGGGUGCGAGCGUUGUCCGGAAUCACUGGGCGUAAAGGGCGCGUAGGCGGCGCGGGUAGUCAUCGGUGAAAGUUCGGGGCUCAACUCUGAAUCGGCCGGUGAUACUCCCGUGCUCGAGCACUGUAGAGGCAGGUGGAAUUCCGGGUGUAGCGGUGGAAUGCGUAGAGAUCCGGAAGAACACCGGUGGCGAAGGCGGCCUGCUGGGCAGUAGCUGACGCUGAUGCGCGACAGCGCGGGGAGCAAACAGG